rnacentral:rRNA from 1 species
CUGGCGGCGUGCUUAACACAUGCAAGUCGAACGAAGACACUGCAGGAUGAAUUUUCGGUAAGGAUUCUGCUUGACUUAGUGGCGGACGGGUGAGUAACGCGUGGGUAACCUGCCGUAUGCAGGGGGACGAACAGCUGGAAACGGCUGCUAAUACCGCGUAAGCGCACGAUGCCGCAUGGCAACGUGUGAAAAGAUUUAUCGGCAUACGAUGGACCCGCGUUGGAUUAGGUAGUUGGUGAGGUAACGGCCCACCAAGCCGACGAUCCAUAGCCGACCUGAGAGGGUGACCGGCCACAUUGGGACUGAGACACGGCCCAAACUCCUACGGGAGGCAGCAGUGGGGAAUAUUGCACAAUGGGGGAAACCCUGAUGCAGCGAACCGCCGCGUGAGUGAAGAAGUAUUUCGGUAUGUAAAGCUCUAUCAGCAGGGAAGAAGAUGACGGUACCUGCAUAAGAAGCUCCGGCUAACUACGUGCCAGCCGCCGC